CAGCAGCCACGGGAAUACCAGCACCUCGAGUGGUCAGGAGGUUUAUUGGGCCUAAAGCAUCCGUAGCCGGUUGCAUAAGUUUUCGGUUAAAUCUAUGCGCUUAACGUAUAGGCCGCCGAAAAUACUGUGCAGCUAGGGAGUGGGAGAGGUACACGGUACUCGAUAGGAAGGGGUAAAAUCCUUUGAUCUAUUGAUGACCGCCUGUGGCGAAGGCGGUGUACCAGAACACGUUCGACGGUGAGGGAUGAAAGCUGGGGGAGCAAACCGGAUUAGAUACCCGGGUAGUCCCUGUCUCUUAUAC
rnacentral:rRNA from 1 species